rnacentral:rRNA from 1 species
AUUGAACGCUGGCGGCAUGCCUUACACAUGCAAGUCGAACGGUAACAGGUCUUCGGAUGCUGACGAGUGGCGAACGGGUGAGUAAUACAUCGGAACGUGCCCGAUCGUGGGGGAUAACGGAGCGAAAGCUUUGCUAAUACCGCAUCCGAUCUACGGAUGAAAGCAGGGGACCGCAAGGCCUUGCGCGGACGGGGCGGCCGAUGGCAGAUUAGGUAGUUGGUGGGAUAAAAGCUUACCAAGCCGACGAUCUGUAGCUGGUCUGAGAGGACGACCAGCCACACUGGGACUGAGACACGGCCCAGACUCCUACGGGAGGCAGCAGUGGGGAAUUUUGGACAAUGGGCGAAAGCCUGAUCCAGCCAUGCCGCGUGCAGGAUGAAGGCCUUCGGGUUGUAAACUGCUUUUGUACGGAACGAAAAGACUCUUUCUAAUAAAGAGGGUCCAUGACGGUACCGUAAGAAUAAGCACCGGCUAACUACGUG